CCUACGGGUGGCAGCAGUGAGGAAUAUUGGUCAAUGGGCGCGGGGCUGAACCAGCCAAGUAGCGUGAAGGAUGACUGCCCUACGGAUUGUAAACUUCUUUUAUAAAGGAAUAAAGUGAGGCACGUGUGCCUUUUUGCAUGUACUUUAUGAAUAAGGAUCGGCUAACUCCGUGCCAGCAGCCGCGGUAAUACGGAGGAUCCGAGCGUUAUCCGGAUUUAUUGGGUUUAAAGGGAGCGUAGAUGGGUUGUUAAGUCAGUUGUGAAAGUUUGCGGCUCAACCGUAAAAGUGCAAUUGAUACUGGCAGUCUUGAGUACAGUUGAGGUAGGCGGAAUUCGUGGUGUAGCGGUGAAAUGCUUAGAUAUCACGCAGAACUCCGAUUGCGAAGGCAGCUUACUAAACUGCCACUGACAUUGAUGCUCGAAAGUGUGGGUAUCAAACAGGAUUAGAUACCCGUGUAGUC
rnacentral:rRNA from 1 species